AGUGAACGCUGGCGGUAGGCAUAACACAUGCAAGUCGAACGGCAGCACAGGAGAGCUUGCUCUCUGGGUGGCGAGUGGCGGACGGGUGAGGAAUACAUCGGAAUCUACUCUGUCGUGGGGGAUAACGUAGGGAAACUUACGCUAAUACCGCAUACGACCUACGGGUGAAAGCAGGGGAUCUUCGGACCUUGCGCGAUUGAAUGAGCCGAUGUCGGAUUAGCUAGUUGGCGGGGUAAAGGCCCACCAAGGCGACGAUCCGUAGCUGGUCUGAGAGGAUGGUAAGCCACACUGGAACUGAGACACGGUCCAGACUCCUACGGGAGGCAGCAGUGGGGAAUAUUGGACAAUGGGCGCAAGCCUGAUCCAGCCAUACCGCGUGGGUGAAGAAGGCCUUCGGGUUGUAAAGCCCUUUUGUUGGGAAAGAAAUCCAGCUGGCUAAUACCCGGUUGGGAUGACGGUACCCAAAGAAUAAGCACCGGCUAACUUCGUGCCAGCAGCCGCCGUAA
rnacentral:rRNA from 1 species